GUCCACACCCUAAACGAUGAUAACUCGAUGUUGGCGAUACACAGUCAGCGUCUAAGCGAAAGCAUUAAGUUAUCCACCUGGGAAGUACGACCGCAAGGUUGAAACUCAAAGGAAUUGACGGGGGCCCGCACAAGCGGAGGAGCAUGUGGUUUAAUUCGAUGAUACGCGAGGAACCUUACCUGGGCUUGAAAGUUAGUGACCGUCCCUGAAAGGGGACCUUCAGCAAUGACACGAAACUAGGUGCUGCAUGGCUGUCGU
rnacentral:rRNA from 1 species